rnacentral:rRNA from 1 species
UUGGAGGGCAAGUUCUGGUGCCAGCAGCCGCGGUAAUUCCAGCUCCAAUAGCGUAUAUUAAAGUUGUUGCAGUUAAAAAGCUCGUAGUUGAAUUUCGGGGUCAGCAGGUUGGUCGUGCCUCUGGUACGCACUGGUUUCGCUGAUUCCUCCUUUCUGAAGAACUGUAAUGUCAUUAAUUUGGUGUUGCAGGGAAACAGGACUGUUACUUUGAAAAAAUUAGAGUGUUUAAAGCAAGCUAACGCUUGAAUACAUUAGCAUGGAAUAAUGAAAUAGGACGUUUGAUCCUAUUUUGUUGGUUUCUAGGAUUGACGUAAUGAUUAAUAGGGAUAGUUGGGGGCAUUAGUAUUCAAUUGUCAGAGGUGAAAUUCUUGGAUUUAUUGAAGACUAACUACUGCGAAAGCAUUUGCCAAGGAUGUUUUCAUUAAUCAAGAACGAAAGUUAGGGGAUCGAAGACGAUCAGAUACCGUCGUAGUCUUAACCAUAAACUAUGCCGACUAGGGAUCGGAUGAUGUUAAUUUUUGAUGACUCAUUCGGCGCCUUACGGGAAA